UGAGAGAGGUAAACAUACCCAAUUGUUUGUGAGCUUCCGGAAACCACACAAUCCUGUUUUAACCGACACUCUUGCGAGGUGGAUUAAAACUGUUAUGCACAAAGCUGGAAUAAACACAGAGAUAUAUGGUGCUCAUAGCACCAGGGCGGCUUCCACUUCAGCAGCGCAUAGGAGGCAUAUUGAUACCAACAAAAUCCUUGCUGCCGCAGGGUGGACUAAUGAGACCACCUUUAGUAAGUUCUACAACAAAACUAUUGUAGAUAUGACAAAGAACUACGGCGAAGACCUAUUGUCUG